AACGCGAAGAACCUUACCUGGGCUUGAACUGCACCGGACAAAGGUAGAAAUACCUCUCCCGCAAGGGCUGGUGUAGAGGUGCUGCAUGGCUGUCGUCAGCUCGUGCCGUGAGGUGUUGGGUUAAGUCCCGCAACGAGCGCAACCCUUACCCUUAGUUGCCACCCGCAAGGGGGAACUCUAAGGGGACUGCUCCGGAUAACGGAGAGGAAGGUGGGGAUGAGGUCAAGUCAGCAUGGCCUUUAUGUCCAGGGCUACACACGUGUUACAAUGCAUGGUACAGACCGCUGCAAACCCGCGAGGGGGAGCUAACCGGAAAAAACCAUGCUCAGUUCGGAUUGCAGUCUGCAACUCGACUGCAUGAAGCCGGAAUCGCUAGUAAUGGCGUAUCAGAACGACGCCGUGAAUACGUUCCCGGGCCUUGUACACACCGGUACUA
rnacentral:rRNA from 1 species